GACGGGGGAUGCGAGCGUUAUCCGGAAUUAUUGGGCGUAAAGCGUCCGCAGGUGGCUGUUCAAGUCUGCUGUCAAAGCGCAGAGCUUAACUCUGUACAGGCGGUGGAAACUGAAGAGCUAGAGUAUGGUAGGGGUAGAGGGAAUUCCCGGUGUAGCGGUGAAAUGCGUAGAUAUCGGGAAGAACGCCAAGGGCGAAGGCACUCUGCUAGGCCUGAUUUCGCGACUGACACUCAGGGACGAGAGCCAGGGGAGCGAAUGGG
rnacentral:rRNA from 1 species